rfam:Lichtheimia corymbifera JMRC:FST:9682, FST 9682, WGS project CBTN01000000 data, contig: SCAF00128
GUCAGGACCUCUGUCACUUCUUAAAAUUGGAACGAUACAGAGAAGAUUAGCAUGGCCCCUGCACAAGGAUGACACUAACUCUCUGAGAUGGAUAGCUCUACGGAGCAAAUUUUU